GAUAGAUUUUUUUCUGUAUUGGCCGAGUUAUUCUAUAUUGGCCGAGUUGACACAAAUACAGGAUUUCGGAACGUCUCUAGUUUUUAUAUCGAAAGUCACGAUAAACACAAACUGAAAGUAAACAGUUGUUUGGAAGACGCAGUUUUCAUUUAGUAAUCAUAAACAUGCUGUAAACUUCAGUAUGGCGUAUAUUCCAGGCUAAAGACGGUCACAUUAAUUUAAAAAGGAUUUUGAAAGCAGACGAUGGAAGUAUUUCAGGUUU
rnacentral:lncRNA from 1 species